GCCCCUGUGGUGGAAUUGGUAGACGCGCCGGAUUCAAAAUCCGGUUCCUUCGGGAGUGCGAGUUCGAGUCUCGCUGGGGGCACCA
rnacentral:tRNA from 2 species